CCGGGAUUUCUGCCCGCACAGAGGCUGAGGGCGCCUGCGAAGGGUCAACCAGAGAGGUGGGGGUGUCCCGCAGCGCCUGCCAGCCUGGGGCGCCUCGCGCUCUAGGGUUCGCUGGCUGGCGCUCAGUGCUCAGCUUCCCGGCUGGCUGCUUGCGCUCUCCACCAGCCCAGCACUGGGGAGAGGGCAGGAAUUGCUAUCGCUUUAAAUGGUCGUUCUGCUGCCUCUCCUCCUCUUCCCACUCCCUCCCUCGCUCCCUAGCUCGCCAGUUCUCCCCACCCUUCCCAGCGCCGCCCUCCCCACUGGUUUGCAUCAUCACGCAAGGAGGGGCUGCGUGCUGAGUGACCAAGAUCUAAAGUGGGCAGAGCAGGAAUGAUGGUAGAGAAGCUGCUGUCCUCUUAGUCCAUGUACACAAGUUCUGGAAGGGAUGCAAGCCAGUGAUGCCUAGCGACAAGAUCUGUCUCCUUGGGUCCUUCCCUCUGCCGUGACCCAUAUAUAACUGGGAGACCUGGAUUACUCUAACACCUUCACUAGACGCCUGAAAAUGAAGCCAACACAUGAAAGUGCCUUGCACCCUGAUCAAACCAAUGGCAGCAGGUCACAUGAUCAUAAUAUGAACAGUGCCAUUUCUAUACCCAAAGAAACGGAGAACCCCUGUGCCUGAAGAUGAAGAGAUGAUCAGAGGGUAAAUUUGAGCUCAGCUUCCUGAAAAUUUUUGACUGUACUCUGGAUGCAGAAGAAGAGUUUAUAUCUUCUUCUAACCACUCCUGUGCUUAUGAGAAUGUGCUUUCUUGACAGCCUUAUUGCUCAAACUAUAAAUUGGUAAGUAUUCCAUUCAUACCUACACUCCACUUUCAGAAAUCAAACGCAACUACUCGACUGGUCCAGUGGGAUAUGUGUCUGGACUGUGAAACCUCUUAGGGAAAGCUUUAGAUGAGCGAAUGACAGUGUUCAGAGUGUACUUCCUGGAAACAUGGUGUCUUGGAAUAUAUAAAAUAUUUUAAACUUCAGGAAUUUGAGAAAUGACAGGUGCAAGAAUGACUCUUUCUCCAGUAGCAGAUCAUAAGAUUGUCUUGGCUCUCCAGCUGCGGUCGUGUUGGAGUGGAAUGAAAUACAGGAGUCUAAGCACUAGAUAGCCAAGAAAGACACUGAAGCAAAUUGCCCAGGUCCUCUGAGGGUUAAAAGUAGCCAAGGUAGGGCUGCAUGGUGGCCAUAUACCCUUCCAGGCAGCAAAAGAAAAAUUAGAAAGUUAAUUGCCUGUCUUCUGUGUUGAAUUCAAACAGUAUUUGUCCUUUGAAGUAUCAGAUUGUUGCCCUUAUUUUCCUUUCCUUUAUAUUGUAGUGUCUUAAUUUUUACUCAA